CCACAGCCAUAGCAACGCAGGAUCCGAGCCAUGUCUGUGACCUACACCACAGCUCACAGCAAUGCUGGAACCUUAACCCAAUGAACAAGGUCAGGGAUCGAACCUGCGUCCUCCUGGAUGCUAGUCAGAUUCGUUUCCACUGAGCCACGACAGGAACUCCCCUAACUGACUUUUCAAGAGUGAUCCAAACUACCUUCUUCUCUCUAAACUUCUUGUCAUCCUUUGGGCAACUGCCUGUAUCCCUGCUUUGGGCCCUUCCCUAUCUUCCCCUCUAUCAUUCAGCCUUUUCACUGGUAACAGCACCUGUGUAUUGCUGUCUAGGCCACAUAAUUAGAUGAAGUUCCUUAGGGGCAGGCUUGUGUCCAGGACCUCUCUGAAUCUCUGGCAUCCUGCCUAGUGCCUGGAACACAGCACCUGGGAUGGACACUACACACUGGACUCAGCACCCAUGCCAACUUCCAUGGAAGUGUCAUUUUUAUAUGGAGGGGCUAGAAGAGCAAAAUCCACAUUCGUCAGACUCCCCUGAAGUUAGGGGAACAGAGUUGACACAAACCAACUUUCUGCUCCUUCCACUGGUUCUGCUGGUGAACAGGCUUUGGCCUUUGAGAUACUAGGUUUUCCUGCAGUGCAUAGUGGCUGCUCACUAGUUUCAUGGGUGUUGAGAAACAGGGCUCGGAGCAUCCGUGUUUUGUUGGUGCGGUCUAGAGACUAUGAUCUUACUCUAGAACAAGUGGUUUCACAGGGGACUUAUGACCUCUGGCACCAGUGAGGUGAUGUGGUUUUGUGGCUGGCAUAGGAAGCAGCACCCCGGCUGAGCUAGUUCUGAUGUGCUGUAUUAUGUGUCAUCAUUCUUUUAGCCCUCUCAAAGUUUUUGUUUGUUUGUUUUGUUUUGUUUUGUUUGGCCAUGCCCAUGGCAUAUGGAAAUUCCCAGGCCAGGGACUGAACCCACGCCAUAGUUGUGACUCAGGCUGCUGCAGUGACAACACCAGAUCUUUAAUCUGAUGUGCCACAAGAGAACUUCUCAAGGUUUUCUCAGUGCAUAAAUUGUUACGUUAAAUCCAUUUUUGCUUAAUUUUUUACUUAAAAAGUUCAAGUAGCUUCCACUUUUUUUUCUUUUCUUUUUUGCCUUUUUAGGGCCGCAUCCACGGCAUAUAGAGGUUCCCAGGCUAAGGGUCGAAUCAGAGCUGUAGCCGCAGGAUCUGAGCUGCAUCUGCGACCUACACCACAGCUCAUAGCAAUGCCAGAUCCUUAACCCACUGAGCGAGGCCAGGGAUCAAGUGGGUUAAAGUCACGGGUGCUAGCCAGAUUCAUUUCCACUGAGCCACGAUGGGAACUCCAGUUUCUACUUUCUACUACUGAUCCCUUGGCCAAUACAGUAUGUGUACAGAAUAUUGAAAGACCCAUAUUGAAAUGGGUUUAGUUCACAGAUGAGGAAACUGAAGCCCAGAAAGAGAAUCAGAUAAGUCAGUGGUAGUACAGGGACUAAAACCCAGGACUCCUUCCUCUUAGUCUAGUGCUUGUUCUCCUGCACCAAAGCGACAUUUGUUUAUUUAUUUUGGUCUUUUUGGGCCUGCACCCAUGGCAUAUGGAGGGUCCCAGGCUAGGGGUCGAAUUGGCAAAGUGACAUUUCUGCCUUUACUACCUCACCUUCCCUAUCUCAUUCUCUAGAAUGAAUCUCUUCCUUUACCAGGUGGGAUAGGGUGGGAUUGAACCACUGUUUUUGAUAUUUAUAGAUAUAUGUUGUAUAAAUAUCUGCAUAAUAUAUCUAUAUAAUAGCUAUAAAUGUAAACAUAAGCAUAAAUAAUAUAACUAAUAAUAAAUAAUGUAGAUAAUAAUAAUAAGCAGUAUUGACUGCUUUCUCUUCCCUUUUCCAUCUUACUCCCCCACUCCUGUACUAGAAUUUACCAGAAUCAACUUCCUACAAACUACUUGUUCUAGAAUCCUUGCCUUGGGGUUUGCUUCAGAGAGAAUCCAAAUAAGACAGAAGGAUUCAUCCUAGUCAAUAGGAUGGUAAGUCCCAGGAGAUGCUAUAGGCCCUGGAGAGGGUAUAUUGGCAAGGGAUUUAUGGUCAGAGGGUUCUUUCCAGAGCCUACUAAAUUUUUCCCCAGAGAUGGGCCACGUGUAGAACCUGGGUGCCUUUGCAAGUGCUGUUCUAUUACCAACCGAGAGCCUUACUUUAGCCCAACCCCAAGGUAGGCUCCAAAAAGCAGACUCAUUUUAGUGACAUCUCCAGUGUCAAAUAUGAUGCUCUUGGUUUUGUCCCAUGAAAGAGGGACAAAUAUAAAGUUUGUGUCAAAUAUAAAGUUUGCUUCAGGAGUUCCCAUCAUGGUUCAGCAGAAACAAAUCUGACUGGCAUCCAUGAGGAUGAGGUUUGAUCCCUAGCCUAGCUUGGUGGGUUAAGGACCUGGUGUUGACAUGAGCUGUGGUGUAGGUUGCAGACAUGGCUCAAAUCCCGCAUUGCUAUGGUUGUGGUAUAGGCUGGUGGCUACAGCUCCAGUUCGACCCCUGCCACAGGUGAGGCCCUAAAAAGACCAAAAUAAUAAUAAUAAUAAUGAUAAGUUUGCUUCAAGGAGUCUCAUCUGCAUUUGGCCAGGCCUACAAACCUGAAAACUAUCUCAGAGCUUAUGUUUUUUCUGUCCUCACAGAGCAAUUGAUAUGUGGGUGGGAGCACACAAAGAUGGUAGUGGCCACAGCCUGGGCCUCCUCUAGCACUCAGCCCCGGGCACUUCGGAAAAAAAAAAAAAUCUCUAGAGAUGAUGAAGGGUUUUAAAAAUAAAAGCUGUUGAGGCAGCCUGCAGCGUCCUAUCCCUGGAGCUUCCUCCUCCCCACCCCUGGCUCUCAGCACAUGGCAGGACCCUAGGGCCCUGUUCUCUGGUCUCCUCAGCCACCUUGGGUCCAAGGGCUCUGCUCCAAGGUCCAGCUUGGCCAAGAGUGGUCAUCAGAGCAGAGGGAGGCAGGAUGACCCACAUACUCAGAGUCAAGGCCACAGUUUAUUGAUGCAGGGUCAAGGUUAUUCUCUAAAUAAACUUCCCUGCUUCAAAAACUUUUAGUGGCAGGUGGUGGCUCAACAGAGACUCAAUUAUAGAGGCCUCAGUGUGAAGUGUGGUGUUGUCCUCAGCAGCUCUUUGGGAGCCCUUUGUCCCAGGCAGUCCUUUCUCUGAAGGACAGCUGAUCAGGGCAAACCUCUGAGUAUCCAGGGCAGGGAUCCAGCUGCAUCUUCCCCAGACAUGUCCCUGGGAAGUGCUGCCCUUACACCUGGGCAGCUGGGGCCUCUGACCUGAUCCAUUGCUUCAGAGCAGAGAUCUCAAACUAUCUGUGAUGAACAACCAGAUUUAAAAUUUUCCAACCAGGAGUCCCCAUUGUGGUGCAGUGGAAACAAAUCCGACUAGUAGCCAUGAGGAUGUGGGUUCAAUCCCUGGCUUUGCUCAGUGGCUUAAGGAUGGGGUGUUGCUGUGAGCUGUGGUGUAGGUCGCAGACACUGCUUGGAUCCUGUGUUGCUGUGGCUAUAGUGUAGCCUGGCAGGUGUAGCUCUGAUUCAACCCGUAGCCUGGGAA
rnacentral:lncRNA from 1 species